rnacentral:tRNA from 2 species
AAAAAAUUAGUUAAUUACUUAUAACAUAAGCUUGUCAAACUUAAAUUAUCACUUAGAUAUUUUUUA